rnacentral:rRNA from 1 species
UACAGAGACUGCGAGCGUUAUUCGGAUUCACUGGGCGUAAAGGGUGCGUAGGCGGCGGGGAAAGUCUGAUGUGAAAUCCUGGGGCUCAACCCUGGAACUGCAUUGGAUACUUCCUUGCUAGAGUACUGGAGAGGAAACUGGAAUUUACGGUGUAGCAGUGAAAUGCGUAGAGAUCGUAAGGAAGACCAGUGGCGAAGGCGAGUUUCUGGACAGUUACUGACGCUGAGGCACGAAGGCCAGGGGAGCAAACGGG